UAUGCAGAGAAAUAAAAUAAUGAUUCCCCCAGAUUUCCUUCACUCCAAAUGAUCAAGACGCAUCUGACUACACGCCCAUCCUUUCAUGAAUUGCUAAGCAUUCUGGCACGCUCUCUGCCUCCUUGCACAAGCGCUGUCGUUUUGCUUUCUUGUCUGCCACCGUGACAGAUCCCGAGCCGGACCCUCCUACCCUGCAGCCAGGCACUCUGACCUGAAAACGACAACACAAAGCAGCAGCAGCAGCAGCGGCAGCAGCAGCAGCGGCAGCAGCAGUGGCGUUGUGGUUCCAGGAGGAGGGAGGGCAAAGUGGGUGGAGAGACAGCAGCAUGUCAGAAAUUCUCAGCACCGACCUUUAACCCCCAGGUCCCCACCCAAGCAGCUUGAAGCAGCCUCCUGCUGACGUAUGACGAUCAACUCGCCUGUCAGGUUUAGAUUCUGAGAUCAGCCACUCAGAGUUUCAGCUGCAGUGACUCUGGCAUGACAUCUCCACAGGACCAGGCCCCAGAGGAUUGUCUGUACUUGCAGCUACAUGAUGCACUGACUCAUCAAGCGUCUGCUGACAACUGCUCUUACAGUCAACAUUCGCGCUCACCUUUCCAAGUAAACAGGCAGCAGCUUCAAUUUACUGAAAAACCAUCCUUAACAUUCACCAGCCGCUAAUGGAAAUAAAUUGAUUGAUGCUAUAAAUGGUUCUGGUUAAAGUUUUGAAAGGCGGUUUAAAACAUUGUCCCCCCACACACACAGAGCAUGCUGCCAUUCUCUGGAAAUCAGGGAAAGUAUUUGGUGCUGCUUUGUUACUCGUAGGCGAGGCAGCGGGUUCAGUCAACUAUUGCAGUCUGAUGACACGCCCUGCCGAUCGCCUUGGUAACAUACGCGGCUCUGUUUUGUUGAAGGUUUUAUCUCCCGGCCCAGCUCAUGUCUGACGCUGCAGACAUUUUGUUUUGCUUUUGAUAAGAUUGCCAAACUCUUAUGGAAACAACCUUAAAAUCUCUCUAUGAUAAAAAGAUUUAAAACAGAAGAUUACAGCAAAAGUAAAUCUAAGAGUUGAUCUGGGCGUAAAUUUUAUUUUCUAUCCGUCCUGCUGAGUUUCGAGUCUUAUCAGCCGGGUUAUAGUUAAAUGCUUGGUCAGAUUGUGAACUUCACACUGGACUUUGCUCUCUUCUAGUUAAUAAGUGAUGCCUUCUUUUCACUCGCACUUCUUUACCACCAGCACUACAACAGUAACACAGGGGCCKAGCUCUGGGAGAAACCCGCAUUUCACACUCGGUGCCUCCCACCAGUCUUGUUAGGCAACAGAAUGACUUCAGGAGGCUUCUUCCAAAAAAAAAAAAAAAA